GGGUCUCUCCGAUCUCUUACAGAAUGUCAACAUCUUCAUAUUUCUCAAAGUACCUUCAUCUCCCCUACCUCCUAGACCCUCAGUGACACCCACUGCCCAGAAUUUCCAAUUCUCUGUCAAUCCAAAGUAGGCCCUCUGUAAUGUUUACCUGGGUCUCUCAGCAUUACCAGGGAGAAAAUGCCCAGUUCUGCAGAUCAGCACCAGGUCACACUUUCGUUUGCCAACCUCAAGAACUGUCCUUGGCCUCGUGCACCAUCUCCUGUUCUUUGCCUGGCUGACUUCUCCUCGGCCUUUAGGUCUCAGCCUAAACUUAAAGCUUCAGAGAAACCCUCCCUGAUCUCCCUAUCUGAUUAGAUUUCCCCCUGGCCCGGUAUCCUCUUCAUUUCUCUCAUGACGCUUUGCGCUUGAUAAUUCUUUACUCUCUGCCUGACUUAUUGUUUGUCUACACAACUAAUUUCUUGUGCAUGGGGACAGCAUCUGUGUUAUUAAUGACUGUAAUAUAGCUCUUCCUGGCACACAGUAGGCACUCAGGGAGAAUUUUUGUAAGAUUGGGUUUGGAGAAAAAACAUUCUCUAGUAACAAAAAAAGUUUAAAAAGCAUUGCUUUCAGUGAAUAUGGCCAUAGCACAAGAGAUACCCUUACAGAUCUCAGGUUGCAUAUACCUGUCAAAUAAACGUCUUGUGUGUGGUGAAAUAGUUAAACAGACUCUUGAGUUCUGAAUUUGGGACACAUGGCAGUUGCUAAGCCUUCGUAACAGUGGUUCUCAACCUCCUUUUGUCUGCAGGUGCGCACAGGCUGAUGCUCUGCUGACGUGUCCCACGUGAACACAGCCAGCACUGCGCGUGGUCCCAUAGCCCUGGCUCUUCCUGUGCUUCUUUCUCCCCCACUCAAGAGACCAUUUGCGGAUGCAAGGGAGUGAGUGAGUGUGAAUAUGUCACCAUGAUGAUUUCCAGUGCACAUGAGCUCUGGGCAGCUUUCAUAUUUCUACAGGUUGAUGACAAGGAAGAAUAUAUAAGAACUGGCCAAGCAGUUUUCCAAAGUGGUUGUAACAUUUUACAUUCCCACCAGUGAUGUAUCAGAGUUCCAAUUGUUCCAUACCUCACCUCUACCUGCCGGUGCUCAGGGACUAUCGUGAGCUUCCUCUAAGCACUUGGAUGUAAGAUUAUGAGGAGAGACAAACUAGCUUCUCUACUGGAUGCCUCCAGCAACUUCCUCGCAGGUAGUCCAGUAAUGAGCUGGCCUCGCAGAGAGAGCCAGAGGUUCUGCUGCUUGGCACUGAUGCUCAUGAUGCAAACUUCGCAGAAGACGGCCACUGAGGAUGGAAUGUUGUUCACACUGGUGAAGCUGGGCUUUGUGUUCAGAGCAUCUGGGCCAGGGGAUCUCUGUCACCUCCCAGCUAUUAUUGAAUGAUGAGGUGGCAGAGCACUGGGGGUGGGGGUGGGGGUCUUUCUCCUAGAACACAACUUAAAUUGUCUCCAGCUAUGCCAGUUGAAGCAGGACACACUUAGCUGAAAUCUCGGAAUGGCCAGAGACUAGGGGACUGCCUCCAACCUGGUCCUUGAGCCCAAAGGUUGACAUUUUCAUCGUUAUGUGUCAUUGUAGUGUUUGACCCUCUUUUGCAACAGAGAAAUACUACUUGUUUUUUUCAUAAUUUGACUUAAAAACAAGCACAUAACACUUUAGAGUGGAGAUACCUAAAUUCAACCCCAAGGCCUGCAAGAGAUGCUCAUAACUCAUCUGAUGGAUCCAUUUAUUCCUUUUUUUUUUAAAUUGUGGUAAAAUACACAUAACAAAAUUUACAUCUUUCCCAUUUUUUUUUAAAGAUUUUAUUUAUUUAUUUGAGACAGAGAGAAUGAGAGAGAGGGAGCACAUGAGAGGGGGGAGGGUCAGAGGCAGAAGCAGGCUCCCUGCCGAGCAGGGAGCCCGAUGCGGGACUCAGUCCAGGGACUCCAGGAUCAUGACCUGAGCUGAAGGCAGUCGCUUAACCAACUGAGCCACCCAGGCGCCCAACAUCUUUCCCAUUUUUAAGUGUAUGGUUCAAUGGUAUUCAGGACAUUCAUACUGUUGUGAAACCAUCACCACCAUCCAUCUCCAGAAUUACUUUGUUCAUCUUGCGAAACCGAGACUCUAUACCCACUAAAGAAUAACUCCCCAUUCCCUCUCCUCAGCCCCUGGCAACCACCAUUCUGCUUUCUGUGUCUAUAAAUUUGACUACUCUAGAUACCUCGUGUCUGUGGAAUCAUACAGUAUUUGCCUCUUUGUUCCACUCAUUCUUUGAUAGAAUCAUAAGUUAGUCAGAAGAUGUUCUAGAAUCCUUAGUAAGGAAAUCCAUGUGGAGGGCUGCCUGGCUGGCUCAGUCAGUGGAACAUGUGACUCUUAAUCUCAGGGUCAUGAGUCUGAGACCCCCACUGGGUAUAGAGAUUACUUAAAAAAUAAAAUCUUUAAUUUAAAAAAAGAAAAGGGAAAUCCAUGUAGAAAGUUGGGUGAAUCCUACUAUUUAUCUUGAUACCAUCAAGCAUUUGUGUAUCUGUUUUUCUUCAUUCUGAUUCCAUGUCACAAAUCAAACCUUUGAGUAUGGUACGGCUUCUUACAGUGGAUACAAUUAGUUGCCCACCAAGCAUCCAUCCCAUCCCGUAUAUACUGAUUAGCAUUGUAUUGUAGUUUGGGUGGUAUUACCAUCCUUUAACUCCAGAGAUCAACCAUAAACCAAUUCUCAUAAACCCAUACUCUCUGUCACAGUGAUUGACUCAGGGAUGGACACUGACCUAGGCCUAAACCAAUCCUCUGGCUACAGUGAUAUUCAUGGACAGGUAUUUACCUAAGUUGGCCCAAUCAAAAUGAAGUCUAGGACCUUUGUUUGAUAGCUGGAGAGAGAAGCCAUCCUUCUUUUACUGAAGUUGAAUUUUUAAAAAUAUGCAUACAUCUUAUUGCUGCAAGCAGCCAUUUUGUAGCCAUGAGAAGUAAUCCUAGGAGGGUGCCAGUAUGAUGAAAAAUAGAGCAAAUAGAUGGAAAGGAAUUUAAUCCUUGGUGAUUAAACUGCUGGAUCAAGUCUUACCUGGAACACUCCCUACCACAGUCCUUUUGAGUUCUUGGGUCAAUAAAUUCUCUUUAUUGUUUAACCAAAUUGGUUUUUUUUUUUCUUUUUCUUGGGGGGUGGGGAGAGUGCUCGAGCGGGGAGCAGAAAGGGGCAGAGAGAGGGAGAGAGAGAAUCCUAAGCAGGCUCCACACCCAGCGCAGAGCCCAAUGCAGGGCUCAGUCUCACAACCCUGAGAUCAUGACCUGAGCUGAAACCAGUCAGAUGCUCAACCAACUCAACCACCCAGGCACCCCACUAUUACUUGUUUUUAGGUAUAUUUUAGUAGAUUAUUCAUAAAGAUCUCUGUACAGAGUCAGAAAGCAAUGAUUGAAUGGACCUUAUACAUUCCCUUUGAUAUUAAUUUCUCAUUGUGAAAAAAAAAUUGGCAUUUCAGUUUGAUAUAUUAUUUUCUUUAGCUUGUUUCAGGUAAGAUGUGGAUUCAUUCUCAGGAUCCUGACAAAUUUUAAUUUCUGGCUUUGUCCUGCGAGGGACCACAGUAAUACUGUCAAGUGACGGGACCAUUUUUUAAAAGAGCCUGCUGAGUGAACUGGUUGAAUGGAGUGCCAUGAAGGUCUUUAAUAAAUUAUAGGUGGAUUUAUGGGUUCUGCUCGGGGCCAAGGUAGGUUGGCUGAGUUGAAAUGAAAUGAGACAUAUUCAUUCAGAAGGUCCAGUGGGUCCUCAGUAUUAAGGAAAGAAGAUUCAUGAACAGAUGCUAUGUUUUUCACCUCAUAGGCUUCCUAUUCUACAUGGACAAUUGUCUCUAGGAUUGAAUAAUCCCAUCACAUGAAUGGGACACAUUGUCUAGUUGGUUACUUAGGACAAUUUCUUCAGAGUAACCCAAACUUACCUUAUGUAAAAUCAUAGGCAUGAGCAAACUCUCAAAACCAACCCCAUGGUUAAAACAGGAAAGCCUCAAAGCAAUCCAAGAUGGAUGGGCCUCGUUUGUAUUCUUAUCAUCUCUAAGAACAGGUAUGUCACAACCUCUAUUGUGACUGGUGUUUCCCAGCCUGGAUUACAUUUUCUACCUCCCAUGCUCUCAUUAGGAAGAAGAGAUGACCAUAGAUGACGGGUGAAAGCUUCUGCUGAGCUCGGCCACUUGUAGGGAUGUUGUUGACUUUGUCAGUCCAUUGUGACUUUCCAUACACAUUUAUAAGUGAACCUCCUGUGAACUGUGCUCCCGAGAAAAGUGUGAAGAUGAGAAGGAGUGAGAAUCUAAAUUCGACAACAGUGUUUCCCUAAACCGGGGCCAGAGUGUUGGCAAAAGCUGUGAUGUUUGGCAAUUAUUGCUGAAAUAACUGGGAUUCUUGAAGGAGUGUUCAGGAAUCCUGAAGAUUAUGGAUGUUGAAUAUGUAUAUUGAAAGGGAGAGAGCUGUCCUAUCUCCCGCUGAAAGCAGUUACAUGGGCCUAAUUCCUCCCUGAGCACUAAUGAUGUGCAUCGGGCCUCCCCUUUCCUUGACAUGAGUUUCUCUUCAACUCUCUCUUUGGGAUGGUUGAUAAUUAACAUGGGGGUUUGCUAUCUGCCUUCAUUGAACUUGUGUGGUCAUUUUAUGCUGCUCAGCCCAGCGAUCUAGCUAGUGACAUCAUUGGGCUAAUGACUAAUGUGCCUGAAGCAAAACAAGGACAAUUCUAUCUAAAAGAAAAUUUUCUUCCCUUAUUUUCCUCUUCCAGAGGAUCAUUGGGAUGGCUAGAAUUUAUAUGUUGUGCAUGCAGUAGAAGAGCUUCUGGUAGAUAGUGCAAAGGACAAGGAAAAAAAUAAAAAAGGGAAGAUAAUGAGCAAACUCCUCUUUGUUGGAAAAAAUAUUUGCUGUUUUUCUGCCUCCGAAGUUUUCUGUAACGUUUCCUAGAAUGUUAACCUAGAAGCUCGAGUGCUUUCUGCUGGGUUUCUUUGAAGGUCCUACUCUGUGGAGAAAGGCCAACAAAAGAGCACUUCCUGAUGCAGGGGAUGGAACCAUCUCUCUUUGCUCUAGAAUCAAGUUGUAACACGAGUCUGGACAUUUGUCAGGGGGUGUCUUAACACUGGAAGCAUAGGCAAGUAAGAAAGAAAUGGAAUUAGUGAUUGAAGCGCAUUGAUAUUGUUGGGAUCUUGAUACACAUUGCCAGUUUGCACCCGAGAGAGGUUAUACCAGUUAUCCACACACUAGCUCUGUCAGAGCAUGCUCACCACCAGUAUUGUUACCUUUCACAUCUUAACAAAUGUGAUAGACUGAAAAAGACAUUGAGCCAGACUCAAAAGGCAGCUUACUGUAUGGUUCUAUUUCCGUGACAUCCCAGAGAAGGAAAAACUAUCAGGGAAAAAAGUUGGAUUGGGGUUUGGGUGUGAGAAGGAUUGACAGGAGAGAGAUCUGAGGGAAUUUCUUAGGGCUGAUGGAAAUGUUCUAUAUCUCGAUUUUGCUGGUGCUUUCACGACUAUACAUUUGUCAAAACUCACUGAACUAUACAUUUGAAAAGGGUGAAUUUUACUGUACAUAAAUUAUACUUCAAUAAACCUGACUUUAAAAAUGACAUUGCCUUGUGGUUUUAAGUCACAGUUCUUUUGCAGUGAAAUUGAACAGCUUUAUAUUUAUUUGCCAUUUGUAUUCCUUCUUUGGAGAAUUGUCUUUUCAUCCCAUUGCAGAAUUGUCUAUGGACUCUGAGCCUUUUUUCUAUUAAUCGGGGUGAUCUUUUAAUAUCGUCUGUCAAACUUGUUAAAAAUAUUUUUUUUAAUUUCUUUUUUCACUUUAUUUGGACUAUUUUACGUCUUUAUUUGAUCUAGCCAAAUUUAUUGACUUUUACUCUAAUGGUUCCUCUACUUUUUUAGAAGAACUUCCCGAUAGAAACCUUUGGAACACGGAAAUGUCUCAGUACAUGCUACUUUAGUUUCUCUUGGGAAUUCACCAGGUAGGCUGUGGGUAGACUUUUCAAAUUAAAAGAAGUAAACAACCCCUCUGUGCAUCAGCGUAGUUGUCGACCUCCCUAAAAGACGCUCAUUGGGCUCAUGGCUCAUCCUCUCUUCCUGCUCCUCGGGGCUCCAGUGGGCUGAGAGCCGAGCCACACCCUGGCCUCACCGACUCUCUCUCUCCCCCCUGCAGCGGCAGCGGCAACAGUUUAGACCCAGGGCCCCGGGAAGUGAUUUAUAGCAAUAGAAAUCGACGAAAGCCUCAAUCAGUUGAAAACCUCAUUUAACAUUUCCCGCUGCUCUCCAGUUUUUGGAAGUUCUGUUUUGUCCUGAUUUGCUCCAUAAUGAGAUUUGGGGAAAAAACUAUGA